UGGGGAAUUUUGGACAAUGGGGGAAACCCUGAUCCAGCCAUCCCGCGUGUGCGAUGAAGGCCUUCGGGUUGUAAAGCACUUUUGGCAGGAAAGAAACGUCAUGGGUUAAUACCCCGUGAAACUGACGGUACCAGCAGAAUAAGCACCGGCUAACUACGUGCCAGCAGCCGCGGUAAUACGUAGGGUGCAAGCGUUAAUCGGAAUUACUGGGCGUAAAGCGUGCGCAGGCGGUUCGGAAAGAAAGAUGUGAAAUCCCAGAGCUCAACUUUGGAACUGCAUUUUGAACUACCGGGCUAGAGUGUGUCAGAGGGAGGUGGAAUUCCGCGUGUAGCAGUGAAAUGCGUAGAUAUGCGGAGGAACACCGAUGGCGAAGGCAGCCUCCUGGGAUAACACUGACGCUCAUGCACGAAAGCGUGGGGAGCAAACAGG
rnacentral:rRNA from 1 species